rnacentral:rRNA from 1 species
GAUGAACGCUAGCUACAGGCUUAACACAUGCAAGUCGAGGGGAAACGACAUCGAAAGCUUGCUUUUGAUGGGCGUCGACCGGCGCACGGGUGAGUAACGCGUAUCCAACCUGCCCACCACUUGGGGAUAACCUUGCGAAAGUAAGACUAAUACCCCAAUGGAUAUCCCACGAAGGCAUCCGAAUGGGAUUAAAGAUUUAUCGGUGAUGGAUGGGGAUGCGUCUGAUUAGCUUGUUGGCGGGGUAACGGCCCACCAAGGCAACGAUCAGUAGGGGUUCUGAGAGGAAGGUCCCCCACAUUGGAACUGAGACACGGUCCAAACUCCUACGGGAGGCAGCAGUGAGGAAUAUUGGUCAAUGGGCGAGAGCCUGAACCAGCCAAGUAGCGUGCAGGAUGACGGCCCUAUGGGUUGUAAACUGCUUUUAUAAGGGAAUAAAGUGGGUCUCGUGAGACUUUUUGCAUGUACCUUAUGAAUAAGGACCGGCUAAUUCCGUG